UACGGAGGGGGCUAGCGUUGUUCGGAUUUACUGGGCGUAAAGCGCGCGUAGGCGGACCUGCAAGUCGGGGGUGAAAGCCCGAGGCUCAACCUCGGAACUGCCUUCGAUACUGCGGGUCUCGAGUCCGGAAGAGGUGAGUGGAAUUCCUAGUGUAGAGGUGAAAUUCGUAGAUAUUAGGAAGAACACCAGUGGCGAAGGCGGCGCACUGGCCCGGUACUGACGCUGAGGCGCGAAAGCGUGGGGAGCAAACAGG
rnacentral:rRNA from 1 species